rnacentral:misc_RNA from 1 species
UCUCCGUUGGUGAACCAGCGGAGGGAUCAUUACAGGACUCGCAAGACUCCUACAACCCUGUGAACUUAACUAUAAGCACGUUGCUUCGGCGGGUGUCUCGGAGGGGGUUCUCCCUCCCCGAGACGCUAAACCCGCCGGCAGCCUACUAUACUCUGUCUCUUUGCGUUGGCAUCUCGAGUACAAUUGAACAAGUUAAAACUUUCAACAACGGAUCUCUUGGUUCUG